UACGGGGGGGGGCAAGCGUUGUUCGGAAUUACUGGGCGUAAAGGGCGCGUAGGCGGCCUGUUAAGUCGAACGUGAAAUCCCCGGGCUCAACCCGGGAACUGCGUCCGAUACUGGCAGGCUUGAAUCCGGGAGAGGGAUGUGGAAUUCCAGGUGUAGCGGUGAAAUGCGUAGAUAUCUGGAGGAACACCGGUGGCGAAGGCGGCAUCCUGGACCGGUAUUGACGGCUGAGGCGCGAAAGCCAGGGGGAGCAAACGGGAUUAGAAACCCCUGG
rnacentral:rRNA from 1 species